UACACGAUACUAUCAGUGCCGUUACUUGCUUAGCUCGCUAGUUUUAUGAGAUUAAUUGAAAUAAGCGCAAAAAGUAUGAUGUUUACGAAUAAAUUAUCAGUAUUUCCGUUCCAAAGAUAACAUUCAACACGAAUCUACGAACAUAUUCAGGGUGUUCUUUACCGGACGGUGAACAUGCAGCGAUGGGAGCAGCCUACAAAACAGCACCAAAAGCGCAGGGCCCGGAAAGCAUCGCUGAGCAGAGAUGAUGUUUAUCUGGAAAGGAAGAUCCUCCCUGCAUCAAUCUGCCAAUAAAGACAGUGAUGUCCUGGACCUUGCAGACAUGGAAGGAAAUACAUAAACACUGCAAAGAAAACUGCUCUUGUCAAGCCGUUUCCCAGGGUCCUUAACGCACUGAGAGCAGGGACAAUGCACAGCAGGUAGGCAGCUGCGGAGAUGAGUGAAGACUGGCGUUUCAGAAGACAGCGUGUCGUAUGUGCUAUCCCUCUCAAGUGUGCAAGAAUGAGUGAUGCUUGAAGUGCAUGUCUGGUCCUCUCUGGGGUGCGCGCAAACGUAUGAGUAUGCGCAAAGUAGUACACAAACACACAACCGCAAAGCUUCUUAUGAACAGCUGGACUGUGACUGGAUCGCUGUGGUUUCACAUGGCUUAGGAGAAUGACUGGCAUUAAUGCUGUGUUUGUCUUCUCUUGAUUGUGUUGCGGUUUGAUUUGCAGAGGAGUCUGUGGCUUGUUUUUACAGCACCGUGUUGUUUGUGUUGUUUGUGUUGGCACAUACAUUAAAGUAUUGAACAUUUAAUACUGUUAUUUCCCAUGGGAAAAAAAGAGAUGUUAGUUGUUACAGUGAAAGUUGCCAAAUGCUUGAUGUAUGAUGUAAACAAACAAUUGUGAAUCACUGAACUAUUUGUGAAGAAGCUAAAUUGUUUUUAUAUGGAAACCCUUUUCCACCACUGAAUAAAAAAAAGGGUAAUUACGACUUUUUAUCUUGCAGUUCUGACUUUUUUUCUCACGACUGCCAAUUACAAAGUCAGAAUUGCGAG